rnacentral:tRNA from 1 species
UCCGAUUUAGCUCAGUAUGGUAGAGCGCCCAUACCAAUAAAGCAUUAGUGGGAGGUCAGAGGUUCAAAUCCUUUAAUCGGAA